UUCUAUAGCAUGCAAAACGUGAUUUGCGCUGAGAUGAACAUAUAUGUUCAUGACGCGAGUAAUUUUCACUUUUCACUGAUCCAAAGGAGGUCACGUGGGAUUGCUUGACGGUUGCGAAAUUAACAGCAAUGAAAAUGGCGAAACGAAACUUGUGAAUCGUGCAUUUGCUCUUCAUGGUAGCUGCCAGAAAAUCGAAUCAAACUUAUGGGACACUGGAUUACAGGUUGCUGCCACUACUCCAUGUGCCCGCAAUUGUCUUGCGUGUAUGAUUACACUAACGACGUCGCCCACCACGGCGGAAGUGUUUUGCGUACACGCGUUUCAGCAUGAAGCCUGCAGGCUGACGUAAAUUGUAGAAGGCAGCUAGUGGGGGAGAAGAUCAUGGUCAUAGGUCAUGUGGCUC